rnacentral:rRNA from 1 species
AACGUAGGACACAAGCGUUAUCCGGAGUUACUGGGCGUAAAGGGCGUGUAGGCGGAUCGGUAAGUCUACUCUGAAAGCUCCUGGCUAAACUGGGAGAGGCGAGUGGAGACUGUCGGUCUAGAGUGAGGAAGAGGAAAGUGGAAUUCCGCGUGUAGUGGUGAAAUGCGUAGAGAUGCGGAGGAACACCAGUGGCGAAGGCGGCAUCCUGGACCAAUAUUGACGCUGAGGAGCGAAAAGCUAGGGGAGCAAACGGG